UACGUAGGGUCCGAGCGUUGUCCGGAAUUACUGGGCGUAAAGAGCUCGUAGGUGGUUUGUCGCGUUGUCCGUGAAAACUCACAGCUCAACUGUGGGCGUGCGGGCGAUACGGGCAGACUGGAGUACUGCAGGGGAGACUGGAAUUCCUGGUGUAGCGGUGGAAUGCGCAGAUAUCAGGAGGAACACCGGUGGCGAAGGCGGGUCUCUGGGCAGUAACUGACGCUGGAGGAGCGAAAAGCGUGGGGAGCGAACAGG
rnacentral:rRNA from 1 species